AGUGAACGCUGGCGGUAGGCCUAACACAUGCAAGUCGAACGGCAGCACAGUAAGAGCUUGCUCUUACGGGUGGCGAGUGGCGGACGGGUGAGGAAUACAUCGGAAUCUACUUUUUCGUGGGGGAUAACGUAGGGAAACUUACGCUAAUACCGCAUACGACCUACGGGUGAAAGCAGGGGAUCUUCGGACCUUGCGCGAUUGAAUGAGCCGAUGUCGGAUUAGCUAGUUGGCGGGGUAAAGGCCCACCAAGGCGACGAUCCGUAGCUGGUCUGAGAGGAUGAUCAGCCACACUGGAACUGAGACACGGUCCAGACUCCUACGGGAGGCAGCAGUGGGGAAUAUUGGACAAUGGGCGGAAGCCUGAUCCAGCCAUACCGCGUGGGUGAAGAAGGCCUUCGGGUUGUAAAGCGCUGUUGUUGGGAAAGAAAAGCAGCAGGUUAAUACCCCGCUGUUCUGACGGUACCCAAAGAAUAAGCACCGGCUAACUUCGUG
rnacentral:rRNA from 1 species